rnacentral:rRNA from 1 species
CACGUAGGGGGCAAGCGUUGUCCGGAUUUAUUGGGCGUAAAGAGCUCGUAGGUGGUUCGGUAAGUCAGGUGUGAAACCUCCAGGCUCAACCUGGAGACGCCACUUGAUACUGCUGUGACUGGAGUCCGGAAGAGGAGAGUGGAAUUCCUGGUGUAGCGGUGAAAUGCGCAGAUAUCAGGAAGAACACCCGUGGCGAAGGCGGCUCUCUGGGACGGUACUGACGCUGAGACGCGAAAGCGUGGGGAGCGAACAGG